GACGAACGCUGGCGGCGUGCUUAACACAUGCAAGUCGAGCGGUAAGGCCCUUUCGGGGGUACGACGAGCGGCGAACGGGUGAGUAACACGUGGGUGACCUGCCCUCAGCUCUGGGAUAAGCCUGGGAAACCGGGUCUAAUACUGGAUAUGACUCCAUGACGCAUGUUGUGGGGUGGAAAGCCUUGUGCGGCUGAGGAUGGGCCCGCGGCCUAUCAGCUUGUUGGUGGGGUGAGGCCUACCAAGGCGACGACGGGUAGCCGGCCUGAGAGGGCGACCGGCCACACUGGGACUGAGACACGGCCCAGACUCCUACGGGAGGCAGCAGUGGGGAAUCUUGCGCAAUGGGCGAAAGCCUGACGCAGCGACGCCGCGUGAGGGA
rnacentral:rRNA from 1 species